rnacentral:lncRNA from 1 species
AUUUUAAAUAACAUACAAGCUCAAGAUCUCUGUAAACAAAUAUUGAAGAUUCUGGUUGGGAAGUCCUGGCAAACCCUCCCCUAACACAGCUCACUGAACUUUGACACGAUUGUUGAUUCCCUGCAGUGACCAGAUAGUUUCAGUUUCUCAGUACUUCACCCUCAUCAAAGGUUACAGGAAUUUUCAACAUUUGCUCACUUGGGGAAAUCCAGAAAGCCUCACAGGAUUGCAGGAGGAAAUGAAAAUUAAAAAAUAAACGCAAAGCCCAUCCACCUGUGCUGAAGAGCAAGAGCAGUAAGAAGAGGCACUUGAUCUUGCUAGGGACACAGUUAAAUGACUAUGGUCAGGAUGGAGCAGAGCUACUACUGAAAGGGCUGACUGUGGCUGAUUUUCGAGAGGGGACACAGAAAGUGAUGCAUGGUGAAGAGCCACCACCUUGGUGAAGGACAAAGAGAGAAAAUGCUGUGUUGAGUUUUCUAGGUUGUAUUCAUUUCAUCACUGAUCGAAUGAUUGACAGCAACAAUAAGAGGAAGGAUUUAAUUGGCUCAAAGUUCAAGGGAUAUCAGUCCAUCU